rnacentral:rRNA from 1 species
CCAGCUCCAAUAGCGUAUAUUAAAGUUGUUGCGGUAAAAAAGCUCGUAGUUGGAUUUCUGUUGAAGACGUCCGGUCCAUACCACGUAUGCGCAUCUGGCUCGGCUUCGGCAUCCUCUCGAAAGACGUUUCUGCGCUUGAUUGCGUGGAGCGGAUCUCGGGACUUUUACUUUGAGGAAAUUAGAGUGUUCACGGCAGGCUAUCGCCAGAAUACAUUAGCAUGGAAUAAUACUAUAGGAUCUCGGUUCUAUUUUGUUGGUUUCUAGAAUUGAGAUAAUGAUUAAUAGGGACAAUUGGGGGCAUUCGUAUCAACACGUUAGAGGUGAAAUUCUUGGAUCGUGUUGCGACGAACUACUGCGAAAGCAUUUGCCAAGGAUGUUUUCAUUGAUCAAGAACGAAAGUAAGGGGAUCGAAGACGAUUAGAUACCGUCGUAGUCUUUACCAUAAACUAUGCCAACUAGAGAUGGGACAUCGUUCACUUAAGACUUGUUCCGCACCUUAUGAGAUAUCAAAGUCUUUGGGUUCCGGGGGGAGUAUGGGUCGCAAGUCUGAAACUUAAAGGAAUUGACGGAAGGGCACCACCAGGAGUGGAGCCUGCGGCUUAAUUUGACUCAACACGGGGAAACUCACCAGGUCCAGACAUAAUAAGGAUUGACAGAUUGAUAGCUCUUUCUUGAUUUUAUGGGUGGUGGUGCAUGGGCCGUUCUUAGUUCGUGGAGUGAUUUGUCUGCUUAAUUGCGUUAACGAACGAGACCUUAACCUGCUAAAUAGGAGCGCCUAUCUCCGGAUAAGCGCCUUUCUUCUUAGAGGACUUUAUGCGUUCAGCAUUGAGUAGUUUU